rnacentral:rRNA from 1 species
UACGUAGGGGGCGAGCGUUGUCCGAAGUUACUGGGCGUAAAGCGCGCGUAGGCGGGCUAUUAAGUUGGAUGUGAAAUCUCCACGGCUUAACCGGGAAACUGCAUCCAAAACUGGUAGCCUUGAGGUAUGGAGAGGGAAGUGGAAUUCCUGGUGUAGCGGUGAAAUGCGUAGAUAUCAGGAGGAACACUCGUGGCGAAGGCGGCUUCCUGGCCAUACCCUGACGCUGAGGUGCGAAAGCCAGGGGAGCGAACGGG